rnacentral:rRNA from 1 species
UACGUAGGGUGCAAGCGUUAAUCGGAAUUACUGGGCGUAAAGCGUGCGCAGGCGGUUUUGUAAGUCAGAUGUGAAAUCCCCGGGCUUAACCUGGGAACUGCGUUUGAAACUACAAGGCUAGAGUGUGGCAGAGGGGGGUGGAAUUCCACGUGUAGCAGUGAAAUGCGUAGAGAUGUGGAGGAAUACCGAUGGCGAAGGCAGCCCCCUGGGAUAACACUGACGCUCAUGCACGAAAGCGUGGGGAGCAAACAGG